rnacentral:rRNA from 1 species
UACGUAGGGGGCAAGCGUUGUCCGGAUUUAUUGGGCGUAAAGAGCGUGUAGGCGGUCAGGUAGGUCCGUUGUGAAAACUCGAGGCUCAACCUCGAGACGCCGAUGGAAACCAUCUGACUAGAGUCCGGAAGAGGAGAGUGGAAUUCCUGGUGUAGCGGUGAAAUGCGCAGAUAUCAGGAAGAACACCCGUGGCUAAGGCGGCUCACUGGACCGGUACUGACGCUGAUGCGCGAAAGCGUGGGGAGCAAACGGG